AUGGCCUGGGCCUUGAUUCUCCUCACAGUUCUCAGUUACUGGUCAGGUGCCAGUUCACAACCAACCUUGACUCAGUCUCCCUCACAGUCGGUGUCUCCUGGAGAAACAGUAAAACUCUCCUGCACUGUCAGCAGUGACAAAAGCUAUAUCUGCUGGUUUCAACAGAAAUCUGGACAGAGUCCCCGUCACAUACAGUGUGCAGGUUAUAGCAGGGGAGAUGGGGUCCCGGACAGGUUCACAGCAUCUGAUUCUGGGAACAUCGGCUCUUUAACCAUCACAAACACCCAGCCUGAAGAUGAGGCCAAUUAUUACUGUGGCAUGUGGUAUGAUAGUAGUGCGUGGAAGUUUCACAGUGCCAAGCUCUCCUGCACUGUUAGUGGUACCCAGUACGAAAUUUACUGGCAUCAACAGAAAGAUGGGCAGAAGCCCCGCUAUCUCCAUUAUGCUGGUGGCAGCAGGGGAGAAGGGGUCCCGGAUCGAUUCACUGCAACUGUCUCUGGGAAUGUCGGCUACUUGACCAUCUUAAAUGUCCAGGCAGAAGACGAGGGUGUUUAUUACUGUGGCAUGUGGUACGAUAGCAGCAACUGGAAGUAUCACAGUGGUGAAAUCUAA